rnacentral:lncRNA from 1 species
AUGUUCUAUUCACUAUUUAUUAAAUUAUGAGGGAAUGGAGGAAAUGAGGACCAAAAAUUAAGGAGCCCAAACCGAUAGGGUGACAAAACUUGCUCUCCCUUCUUUCUUUCUUUGUUAAUUUUUUUCCCCUGUUUCUGCCUUCUUUGGCUUAUUUUGUUUCUGUUCCAUAUCUAGAUAAGUGAUACAAAAAGAAUGGGUUUGUAUGAGCAAUUAGGAGUGGCUAAGUGACAGAUUUUGUUUAAGCAAAGUACGCAUGGCUUCUUUCUCUUUUGUUUUUUUUGUUGUUCUUAAUGCUGCUCAUGUCUAAGUUGCUAUGGAGAUUGGUGUGUAAUUUCCAUUGUGAUCCAAUAACAUCAUUCUGAAAUGUAAGAAAACUGAUCAGUUAAUGUGCUGUGUAUCUUGAAUUGAAACUGAUCAGUGUUGUUGUGCAUAUAUUCAUAUAUAUAUAUAUAUAUGUAUAUAUAUAUAUCAGAGAAAAUACUAAUAACUCCUGAAUUCGUCCCUUGAAAAUUGAUCAGUAUCUGCUGUGCAUCUUCGUAAUUUAUAUCGGAUGGUAAAGGGUGAGAAGCAUAUUCGUAUUGAAAGACGUUAUUAGACAAUCAAUAUUAGUCAGUGUAUACACACGCAAAUAGGACUUAUAUCAUGCUCAUUAGUGAGAGCUCAGUCAAUAUAUACCAACUUUGACAUCAAAAUCAGAUAGUUCAUGAUCAAGUAACUUGAAAAUGACCAUUUUUUUUUCAUACUGCCUAAUAAGAAGGGUUUGGUUGAGUUUUUAUUUUCUAUUAUCUGUAUCUCUGAGGUGACCUUAAUUAUCUUUGCCUGUUUUCAUCGUCCUUUUUUGUUUGUAUUUGAAUGUGGUAUGGUUAUG